GGCCAGUCCCCCGGCAGGAUGAGCGCUCUAGGCCGGUCCUCGGUCAUCUUGCUUACCUACGUGCUGGCCGCCACAGAACUUACCUGCCUCUUCAUGCAGUUCUCCGUCGUGCCAUACCUGUCUCGGAAACUGGGCCUGGAUUCCAUUGCCUUCGGCUACCUGCAAACCACCUUCGGGGUGCUGCAGCUGCUGGGCGGGCCGGUGUUUGGCAGGUUCGCAGACCAGCGCGGGGCGCGGGCGGCGCUCACGCUCUCCUUCCUGGCUGCCUUGGCGCUCUACCUGCUCCUGGCGGCCGCCUCCAGCCCGGGCCUGCCCGGGGUCUACCUGCUCUUCGCCUCGCGCCUGCCCGGAGCGCUCAUGCACACGCUGCCAGCCGCCCAGAUGGUCAUCACGGACCUGUCGGCACCCGAGGAGCGGCCGGCGGCCCUGGGCCGGCUGGGCCUCUGCUUCGGAGUCGGAGUCAUCCUCGGGUCCCUGCUGGGCGGGACCCUGGUCUCCGCGUACGGCACAGGUGCCCAGGUCUCGGAGAGCCCCUCCCAGGGACACGCCCACCAGGCUUGCCCUUUGGAGCCUCUCCUGACCUUGGCCAGCGUGGGAGCUGCUGUCCCUGGGAGGAUCCGCCGCCCGCCCCAGGCGCUCACCAGCCUGGCUUCCACAGCUGCUACCCACAGGGGCUGCCGGGGC
rnacentral:sRNA from 1 species